rnacentral:misc_RNA from 1 species
AUGAUCUGCGACGGACGCUUGUAGGAUGUCAGUUGCUUGCUUGCGAAGGCCAUCAGUUCGGAAGGCGUCACGUUCGACCCCUUCAGCAGUUGAACGAACGCAACAACUUCUUCGUUGCCAUCGGCAGCGCGGCCCACCACUGCGGACUGCACAACAGCAUCGUGCGAACUAAGCACCGCUUCCACCUCGGAUGGAUAAACAUUGAAUCCCGAACGAAU